rnacentral:rRNA from 1 species
ACGGGUGAGUAACGCGUGGGAAUCUGCCUGCUAGAGGGGGACAACCCGAGGAAACUCGGGCUAAUACCGCAUAGACUCGAGAGAGUAAAGCUGGGGGUUAAAUCCUGGCACUAGCAGAGGAGCCUGCGUCCGAUUAGCUAGUUGGUUAGGUAAAGGCUGACCAAGGCGAUGAUCGGUAGCUGUUCUGAGAGGAUGGACAGCCACACUGGGACUGAGACACGGCCCAGACUCCUACGGGAGGCAGCAGUGGGGAAUAUUGGACAAUGGGGGGAACCCUGAUCCAGCAAUGCCGCGUGUGUGAAGAAGGCCUUCGGGUUGUAAAGCACUUUAGUUGGGGAGGAAGGUGUAUUGUUUAAGAGAUGAUACAUUUGACUGUACCCAAAGAAUAAGCACCGGCUAACUCUGUGCCAGCAGCCGCGGUAAUACAGAGGGUGCGAGCGUUAAUCGGAAUUACUGGGCGUAAAGGGCGCGUAGGCGGAUGAUCGUGAGAGGUGUGAAAUCCCUGGGCUUAACCUAGGAAGGUCACCUGAGACUGGUCGUCUGGAGUGCUGUAGAGGGUAGUGGAAUUUCCGGUGU